UCAGCAUGUGUGUUAGUGGAAGCGUCUGGAAAGGCGCGCGAUACAGGGUGACAGCCCCGUACACAAAAGCGCAUGUGCUGUGAGCUCGAUGAGUAGGGCGGGACACGUGGUAUCCUGUCUGAAUAUGGGGGGACCAUCCUCCAAGGCUAAAUACUCCUGACUGACCGAUAGUGAACCAGUACCGUGAGGGAAAGGCGAAAAGAACCCCGGCGAGGGGAGUGAAAAAGAGCCUGAAACCGUGUACGUACAAGCAGUGGGAGCACCCUUCGGGGUGUGACUGCGUACCUUUUGUAUAAUGGGUCAGCGACUUAUAUUCUGUAGCAAGGUUAACCGUAUAGGGGAGCCGGAGGGAAACCGAGUCUUAACCGGGCGUUAAGUUGCAGGGUAUAGACCCGAAACCCGGUGAUCUAGCCAUGGGCAGGUUGAAGGUUGGGUAACACUAACUGGAGGACCGAACCGACUAAUGUUGAAAAAUUAGCGGAUGACCUGUGGCUGGGGGUGAAAGGCCAAUCAAACCGGGAGAUAGCUGGUUCUCCCCGAAAGCUAUUUAGGUAGCGCCUCGUGAAUUCAUCUCCGGGGGUAGAGCACUGUUUCGGCUAGGGGGCCAUCCCGGCUUACCAACCCGAUGCAAACUGCGAAUACCGGAGAAUGUUAUCACGGGAGACACACGGCGGGUGCUAACGUCCGUCGUGAAGAGGGAAACAACCCAGACCGCCAGCUAAGGUCCCAAAGUCAUGGUUAAGUGGGAAACGAUGUGGGAAGGCCCAGACAGCCAGGAUGUUGGCUUAGAAGCAGCCAUCAUUUAAAGAAAGCGUAAUAGCUCACUGGUCGAGUCGGCCUGCGCGGAAGAUGUAACGGGGCUAAACCAUGCACCGAAGCUGCGGCAGCGAACGUAUCACCCAAGACAACUUUACGGAGUUGACGAUUGACGGAGCGAAGCGACGUCAAAGCGUUCAUUAAAGUCGAGUUGGCUUAGGGAUACGUUCGUUGGGUAGGGGAGCGUUCUGUAAGCCUGUGAAGGUGUGUCGUGAGGCAUGCUGGAGGUAUCAGAAGUGCGAAUGCUGACAUAAGUAACGAUAAAGCGGGUGAAAAGCCCGCUCGCCGGAAGACCAAGGGUUCCUGUCCAACGUUAAUCGGGGCAGGGUGAGUCGACCCCUAAGGCGAGGCCGAAAGGCGUAGUCGAUGGGAAACGGGUUAAUAUUCCCGUACUUGGUGUUACUGCGAAGGGGGGACGGAGAAGGCUAUGUUGGCCGGGCGACGGUUGUCCCGGUUUAAGCGUGUAGGUGUGUGUUCCAGGUAAAUCCGGUU
rnacentral:rRNA from 1 species